AGCGAACGCUGGCGGCAGGCCUAACACAUGCAAGUCGAACGGAACCUUCGGGUUCAGUGGCGGACGGGUGAGUAACACGUGGGAACGUGCCCUAUGGUUCGGAAUAACUCAGGGAAACUUGAGCUAAUACCGGAUAAGCCCUACGGGGAAGAUUUAUCGCCAUUGAGCGGCCCGCGUCUGAUUAGCUAGUUGGUGAGGUAAAGGCUCACCAAGGCUACGAUCAGUAGCUGGUCUGAGAGGAUGAUCAGCCACAUUGGGACUGAGACACGGCCCAAACUCCUACGGGAGG
rnacentral:rRNA from 1 species